UACAGAGGUCCCAAGCGUUGUUCGGAUUCACUGGGCGUAAAGGGUGCGUAGGUGGCAAGGUAAGUUUGAUGUGAAAUCUCCGGGCUUAACCCGGAAACUGCAUUGAAUACUAUCUCGCUCGAGGAUUGGAGGGGAGACUGGAAUACUUGGUGUAGCAGUGAAAUGCGUAGAGAUCAAGUGGAACACCAGUGGCGAAGGCGAGUCUCUGGACAAAUCCUGACACUGAGGCACGAAAGCUAGGGGAGCAAACAGG
rnacentral:rRNA from 1 species